UGCUCUGGAAAAUUCUACCCAUGCUCUGCUCUGGCCCCCCAUCUCUUUCUUCCAAAGCCAGAAUUAACUUCUGGGAGGGAGGAACCCAAGUGUUAUGGAUAGACUUGGUCCUAAAGACACAGGAGCCUCAGAACAAUGAAGGGGUGAAAUAAAGGGAAUGCCAAACCCUUGUAAAGAACCAUCCCUCAGAAGCCUGGGAAGUGGGAACAGCCCCUACCUCCCCAAGAGGGGCUGGCGAGUGGUGGGGGCUUUUCACCCAAGACAGAGCUCUGGAGCUUAGUUCCCUGACAUGGUGAUCAGGUAAUGGGAAGGUUUCCCACUCCUCUGCUGGCAGUCCUGCUGUCUCAGAGAAUGCAGAACUACCUAUCACAUGCUGGAUGUGCCAUUCAGUUGAACUGUGCAGGAAGCCGGGCUGCGGACAGGUGCUGGUGAGUGUCCCGGGGCUCUCCCCUCCAGCCCCCCAGUUCCACGAGAUGCAGUACUAAGGCCUGACCAGAUGCAGACAAGAAGAAACUGAGUGUGGUGUUUGAUCAAGUAGGACCUGGCCUUUGAGGCUGGGGGUGGUCGCGUGCCUUGUGGUCCCUCAGCCUCUGUGGGCAGAGACAGGAGAGGUUGUGUCAGUGCCAGGAAGCAUGCAUGUGGACUUCACUUGCUUCCGUCAUCCCCUCCACCCCAUCCCCCAAAGCUGCUUGCUCCCUGCCCUGCCCUCCAGAUAAAGGGGGUUGGCGGAGUCUUCCCAGCGUUGCUGCAGUGUCAUGGAGCCACCACCACAAUGCACCAGCCUGAGUGGGAGAAGGGGGAACAACCAGGCAAGGGGGGCCUCAGACUGGCAUCCUUCCCUCCUUUGGAACUCCCAGCCCAGGGGCUCCUCUGGCCUUGUGGUGGUGGAAAGGGGUUUCUCCAGAUGAAGGCGAGCCUGGGCAGGAAAAGUACUCCUCCUUCCUCGGCCAUUUCAUACUCUUCGCUGACCGGUCCCCACUCUGUGCUGACAUUGGCUUUGAGCUGAGGCCCAGCUCAGUGCCCUCUCUAAUCUGAAUCAACGGUUAUCAUGUGGUUUUUAUUUUUGCCCCUCGGGGUAAGGGAAGAGUCUUCCAGAAGGUUCUGCCUUGGACAUUCAUAAUUGAGCCGAGGCCUUGUCCUGCCCCUUCCUCCUUCCCCUAAUCACGGCAGUGUCUAGCCCAGUGUUGAACAGAUUGUAGUGUUCUGUCUUAUUACAAACAAAUAAAUAGACUUUAAUUGGUCACA